rnacentral:rRNA from 1 species
AUUGAACGCUGGCGGCAUGCCUUACACAUGCAAGUCGAACGGCAGCACGGGGCAACCUGGUGGCGAGUGGCGAACGGGUGAGUAAUGCAUCGGAACGUGCCAUUGAGUGGGGGAUAACGUAGCGAAAGUUGCGCUAAUACCGCAUAUUCUGUGAGCAGGAAAGCAGGGGGACCGCAAGGCCUUGCGCUCUUUGAGCGGCCGAUGUCAGAUUAGCUAGUUGGUGAGGUAAAGGCUUACUAAGGCGACGAUCUGUAGCGGGUCUGAGAGGAUGAUCCGCCACACUGGAACUGAGACACGGUCCAGACUCCUACGGGAGGCAGCAGUGGGGAAUUUUGGACAAUGGGCGCAAGCCUGAUCCAGCCAUGCCGCGUGAGUGAAGAAGGCC